rnacentral:tRNA from 1 species
GGUCCUAUAGCUCAGUUGGUCAGAGCAUCUGACUCAUAAUCAGGGGGUCCCAGGUUCAAGCCCUGGUGGGACCA